GGCUCCGUAGCUUAGAGGGAAGAAGCGCCCGUCAAGCGAAUUGGGAGUCGUAGGUUCAAUUCCCACCGGAGCAU
rfam:Aedes albopictus isolate Foshan contig22968, whole genome shotgun sequence.